rnacentral:rRNA from 1 species
AUUGAACGCUGGCGGCAGGCCUAACACAUGCAAGUCGAACGAGUGGCGGACGGGUGAGUAAUGUCUGGGAAACUGCCUGAUGGAGGGGGAUAACUACUGGAAACGGUAGCUAAUACCGCAUACCAUCGGAUGUGCCCCGCGGGGAUUAGCUAGUAGGUGGGGUAAAGGGUCACCUAGGCGACGAUCCCUAGCUGGGCUGCGUGGAUGACCAGACACCCUGGAACUGAGACACGGUCCAGACGCCUACGGGAGGGAGCAGGGGGGGAUAUGGCACAAUGGGAGCAAGCCGGAUGCAGCCAUGCCGCGUGUAUGAAGAGGGCCUGCGGGUUUUAAAGUACUUGCAGCGGGGAGGCGUUACCCGCAGAAGAAGCACCGGCUAACUCCGUGCCAGCAGCCGCGGUAAUUC